UUUGAUGGAGUUAAAGGGUUUAGAAGGGAUUACAUUUCUUUGAUGCAGUGAGACGAGGAAUUAAGGGUCGGUUUAUUAUAAAAACAGACUGUAAAUUGGUAGUGGAGUGGGUUAAGAAUGGAACUGUGUCCCCAUCUUUUUGUCUGUAUUGUCAGGGAUAUAGCAGUUAAGCUUAAAGAAGUGGAGGGUAUUAGAUGGGUUGCAAGGACAACCAUAUUGAGGCUGAUGGGUUGGCUAAGUCUGCUAUUGGUUAAUUACAGUGUGUUUAGGGGUAUUUUUUUUGGGUUUUUACGUUUGUUUGCAAAGGUCUUUUAUUGAUGUUGUAAUCUUAUGCAUCUUAUUAAUGAAGUAUAAGGCACUCUUUUCCUCCUUCCUCUGAUAAAGGAACUCAUUUGAGUUCCUCAAUCAUGAAGGGGGUUUUAGUGAGGCCUUCAAGUCCUAUAAAAAAAAAACUAAUAGGAUUGGAUGACUUCCUUCGCUUAUUGUGCCUCCUUGAGUGGUUUUCAACUCUACUUGAAUCGGUCUCAUCACCCAUAUUUUGUUGGUAGAUACUUGGUUCUUUGAAGGGAGUGUAAAGCCUAAGUAGGAUUUUUAAGUGCGGGUAACUGGACUUGAAAUGAAGAGUUGGACUAGCUUUGAUACCAUGUCAAAACUAGUGUUUUUCACUCUAUAUGAUCGUACUGUUUGUAGAAAAAUACAAGAUUUAAAUAUACACACUGCUGCGUUAUCUUAGGAAACUGCUACGCUAGGUAAGUAAUUGAUUCUAGGAGUAAUUCUUAAUCCAUUAAAAUUAGAGAUCCUAACUAGUAGAAUAUUUACAAAGAUCCUACAUAAUAUUCCUAAAUUAGGAAGCUAGUCUAUGACAUUUAUAAUAAAUUAGUGUUGAAACCGUGACAAGUUACUGUUUGUACAAUAAAAUAGAUUAAGGUAACUCGAUUGCCUGUGUCUAAAUACAUUUUGUUUUAAAAGAUCCUCUAAUUUGUUUGGAGCAAGUGAAAACUUCUAUAGUGUCAACACUGUACUUCUGUACUUCUCAAUCUAGGAAAUUCCGUCAGCAUUUAUAUCGAUUGGCUUUUAGGUGAAAAGAUAUCUAAUUUAGUUGUGGACCAUUAAUUACUAAGCUAAUUAGCCUAAUUUAUGAAAUUAUCAGUUGAUUGUUUACAUUAUGAAUAGAGUGCUUCGUUAAUGGUAGGGACGUGGAAGAUAAUCGGGAGGAGGUUUGGUGUUACAUGUCUCAACAUGAUCAAACAUUUUUAUCUUCCUUCGAUUUAUGGGUUCCAUCUUUUUGAUCCUUCACUUUUGGUUUUAUUUGUCCCUGUAAUUGUAGUAUACCACAUUGUUCCAAAGAGGGGAAUUGCGUCCUAUCCCUUCGUCUAUUCAAGGGACAGGAUCCGUUCUCUCUUCUGUGUCUCUAGAAAACUCACUUUCUGACACGUGCCAAUCUCCUCCAAGGCCCUUGCCUUAUGAUGCUGACACUAGAUUUCCACUUGCAACGUGAUGGUCUUGUUUCAAGACAUGAGAAGGGUUCAAGUCAUUCAAACGAAGAUCAGAGCCUUUAAGAGCUCAAAAUAGAUUCGGGAUCUUUGUGUACGGGGCAAAUGGAAUGCCUUUGAACAAGGCUCGAAAGAGAAGCUUUCUAAAUCCUCACAGAAAUUCUCAUCAGCAAAGGCCUUGGAAUUGGGUCAUAUUCAUCUGCUGAAGAAGAGGAGGAAGUCUGUCCAACUUAUCUUGAAGAAUAUACCAGAGAAUCGCAAGAUAAUAACAAAAUGUUCCCACCAUUUUAAUCUCGGUUGCAUUUAUGAAUGGAUGGGAGAGUGAAAACUGUCCGGUCUGUGGCAAGGUUAUGGUGUUCGAUGAAACGGCUUAAUCUUUAUUCGGAAGGUUUUUUUGUUGAUGAAAACCAGCAGAACAGAGAAUCCAAAAAUAAAAAGAAAGACAUCUAAUCUGCUUUGUGAAUAGUGCAGGGAUAAAGCAUUUGAGAAGGGGAAAAGAGGGGUAGGUUAUCAUUGGUAUGAUUGUUGGAAAUCACACUAAAGCUGUAUUGACAAUAGUUUAUAUAUAUAUAUAUAUAUCAAUGG